rnacentral:rRNA from 1 species
AGCAGCAGCCGCGGUAAUGCGAAGGGUGCAAGCGUUAAUCGGAAUUACUGGGCGUAAAGCGUGCGUAGGCGGUUUGUUAAGUCUGUUGUGAAAUCCCCGGGCUCAACCUGGGAAUGGCAGUGGAUACUGGCUCGCUAGAGUGUGUCAGAGGAUGAUGGAAUUCCCGGUGUAGCGGUGAAAUGCGUAGAGAUCGGGAGGAACAUCAGUGGCGAAGGCGGCCAUCUGGGACAACACUGACGCUGAGGCACGAAAGCGUGGGGAGUAAACAGGAUUAGAUACCCGCGUAGUCCCUGUCUCUUAUAA